GACGAACGCUGGCGGCGUGCUUAACACAUGCAAGUCGAACGAUGAAGAAAAGAAUUGCAGCUUCGGCAGAAAUUCAUUUCGGAUUAGUGGCAGACGGGUGAGUAACGCGUGAGCAACCUACCUCUUACAAAGGGAUAGCCUCGGGAAACCGGGAUUAAUACCAUAUAACAUUGCGACGAAGCAUUUCGAUGCAAUCAAAGCUACGGCGGUAAGAGAUGGGCUCGCGGCCCAUUAACCAGAUGGUGAGGUAACGGCUCACCAUAGUAACGAUGGGUAACCGGACUGAGAGGGUGAACGGUCACACUGGAACUGAGACACGGUCCAGACUCCUACGGGAGGCAGCAGUGGGGAAUAUUGCACAAUGGAGGGAACUCUGAUGCAGCGACGCCGCGUGAGUGAUGAAGGAAUUCGUUUCGUAAAACUCUGUUCUAUGGGAAGAAAAGGACUGUACCAUAGGAGAAAGCGCCGGCUAAAUACGUG
rnacentral:rRNA from 1 species